rnacentral:rRNA from 1 species
UACGUAGGGUCCGAGCGUUGUCCGGAAUUAUUGGGGCGUAAAGUGUGCGCAGGCGGCCGAGCAAGUCGAGUGUGAAAGCCCCGGGCUCAACCUGGGAAUUGCGAUGGAGACUGCAAGGCUUGAAUCUGGCAGAGGGGGGUAGAAUUCCACGUGUAGCAGUGAAAUGCGUAGAGAUGUGGAGGAACACCGAUGGCGAAGGCAGCCCCCCUGGGUCAAGAUUGACGCUCAUGCACGAAAGCGUGGGGAGCAAACAGG